GACGAACGCUGGCGGCGUGCCUAAUACAUGCAAGUCGAACGAACCGCGACUAGGUGCUUGCACUUGGUCAAGGUGAGUGGCGAACGGGUGAGUAACACGUGGGUAACCUACCUCAUAGUGGGGGAUAACAGUCGGAAACGACUGCUAAUACCGCAUAGGACAUAGGAUCACAUGAUCCAGUGAGGAAAGGUGGCGCAAGCUAUCGCUAAGAGAUGGACCCGCGGUGCAUUAGCUAGUUGGUAGGGUAAAGGCCUACCAAGGCGAUGAUGCAUAGCCGACCUGAGAGGGUGAUCGGCCACAUUGGGACUGAGACACGGCCCAAACUCCUACGGGAGGCAGCAGUAGGGAAUCUUCCGCAAUGGACGCAAGUCUGACGGAGCAACGCCGCGUGAGUGAAGAAGGUCUUCGGAUCGUAAAGCUCUGUUGUUAGAGAAGAACAGCGCAUAGAGUAAUUGUUAUGCGUGUGACAGUAUCUAACCAGAAAGCCACGGCUAACUACGUG
rnacentral:rRNA from 1 species